GAUUGGUUCCGUUCUGUUCGAAUGGGAGCGCAUCCCAUGAAUGCCGCAGAUGCGCCGCGGCGGGGGCGGGUGAUAUGGCGUCGCCGGAGGACAUGGUGGCGGAGCUGGAGACGGCGGCGGCGGAGGUGCUGCGGCGGCUGGGCACGGGGGAGAAUGCGGGAGGGCUCACCGGCGAGGAGGCCGCGCGGCGGCUCCGCGUCCACGGGCCCAACAUAGUCCUCCGCUCACACCACAACUCAUCUCUCACUGCCCAUCCUGUUGAAAGUGAUGGUUUGGUAUUAGUUGACCUGGACAAGCUGCACAAAGAAGGGCCAAUUGAUAUGUAGUUUUGAAAAAAUAGGAGGACAGCAUGCUUCAAAAUUUCGUGAUGACAAUCUUCUCACUCUGGGGAUGGGAUCAUGUCUUCCCUAAGUACAACAACAUGGUCUGUGUCAUACUUAAUUCCAUGUCAUGGGUUACAGUAUUAACUACAGUUGUGUCUCUCGCCAUCGUGUCGGCUGACCAGAGAUCUUACAUGCUGGCCACCGCCAUUUUUUUACUAGCUGCAAGCUUAGUAGCGCGCUUUACUGCAAAGCUUGUUGUGGAGUAUGCUAAGGCUACGCUGGAGGCCAAAGCAUAUGCACCAAGGGCCAAGGUGUUGAGGGAUGGGAGGUGGAUUGAUGUGCAUGCAGCUAAUCUGGUCCCUGGCGAUAUUAUAUUUCUCAAGGUUGGGGCAUUGUCCCUGCUAAUGCUUGUGUCCUCCGGUUUCAAAAGAAGAUUCACUUUAGUAUUCACCGUUUGAGUAGUGCUUCUAUGCUGUCAAAAAAAGUAGAAGCACACCUCUUAAACAACAUUAAGCGUCUGAUCUGCAAGCAUCCAUAACGCCAUCACUAAGAAUGCCACUUUAAGGUUGUGGAAUCUAGCCUUUAGAGCACAAAUCUUACUGUUUUGCUAUCUUGAUUUAUUAGUGCAGAGGACAACUGUGAUAUAGUGAGAAGGUUGGCCAAUUUUGGAUGUCAUUGUGCGAUGGUUGGGUAUGAAUUCUUGAUCAUGAUGCUAUGGGUGAAAGCCAUAUUGGAAUUUCAGUAGCUGAUGCCACUGAUUACACCAAAAGUGAAUCCGAUCUUGUUUUGACUCAGCCUUCCAUGAUACCUAUUUCAUCAGCCAUCCGAAUCAGUAGGGAGAUUUGUAAGAUUAUGAAGGGCUACAUGGAAAGUCAUUCUGAUGUAUUUAUAGGUUGUAUUGCUGGCAUGAUAUUUGGUGUCUAUAUCAUGAUAAACAAAUAAAUGUUGCUUUUGUUGCAGAUCUACACUGUUUCAUCUACUGCCCAUCUCUUAGGUGUUCGUGUCAUUUUCCUUUUAUGGAACUUUGACUUGUCAAGUUUCCUGGCUUUGGUGAUUGCUGCUUUUAAUUGCUGUGAGUUUUGGCUGCAAAAGAACCCACAACCUUAUUUUACAGCAUAUACUGUUUGUGUCCUCCUUUUCGUCUUCAAAUUGUUCUUUGCUUUUUACUUUAUUUUAAGGUUCAUCCUUUGCAAUAUUAUUCGAAAGGAUAGAACUCAGUGAGUCACCAGAUAGAUGGAGAGUUAAGAAAAUCGAGGUGUUGCUUUUGGUAGCUACAUAGUUCUGAGUACAGCCAUUUUUUUUCAGGGCUGCAACAUUUUCAGACUUUCUUUCAGUGAGCUCUUUUUCCCCGGUUAAUCUACAUUAUAUUGGUUUCGAGUUGUAGCUAAUUAUCUAGUACAUGGACAGAAUAAAUUUGAAGGUAAAUCGCUGAUGGGCACUGAUGAAGACAUUAGAGCUGCUUUGUUCCUUCAGAUGAGCAUAGUGAACCAAGCUGUUGCACUGUUUGCUCAUUCUGAUGAUUGCUGCCUUAUCAGAUGUCCUGGACCUUUUGUGGCAUUUACUUUUAUUUUUAUUCAGAUGGUGGCCACCCAUAAAGUCAUAUAUGGUGACUUGGAUUUUGCACUAGUAAGGGUAUUGGUUUGCUCAGGGAAGGAUUGAUAUGGUUGUACAACCUUGUUGUGCUCAUGACCCCUGUUUUUAAGAAGUGGAUUUGCUCUAUUUUAUUUCCUUCAGCCCUCUGUUGCAAUAGGUAUUAAUUAAUCUUUUGCUCUUCGGCAGGUCAUAGAUGGAGGCGUGCAAACAUGACUAGUGAAAAGUUAUUAACAACAUGCAUGCAUUCAGCCAUCCUACAUAUAGCUUUUCUCUGGUUACUGUAUGUAAUACUUGACAUCAGGCUACAGAAGCCAGUAUCUAGUUGAUAGCUUAAAACAUUCUUGUAGCCGGUCAUUUCAGUGUAUCACCUGUAAAUGCCUCAGUAAAUAAAACCCGAUAGCCACAUCUAAUCAAUCCCUCCUGAUUCAGAAAAUGCAAUUCUGAUGUCAUCACUUGUCCAAGCCUGCCUUUUCUUUCAUUUGUAUGCUAGUUAAAUGUUGCAAGAGCUACAGUCGUAUUUACAUAACUUACAUAUCAUAGCGGAAACAAAUAUAAAAUUUUGUCCAAAGAAGAGAAAAUCUCGUCCUGGCUUUUCAUUCCAAAAGAAAAUUUGGGCUUAUUACUAAAGGUAGAAACCAUCUUUUGACUUCUUUUUCUUAAAAUCAUAUUAUGUUUCUGACCUUUUCUAUUUUUGUUACUUGUCAUUUACCAUAAUGUCCGCUAGCUGAAAAGACUACAUCACCCAACAUGGCACCAUACUCAGCAUUGUUUCUCUCUUUGAUUGUUUUGUUAUCUAGACAGUAUAGAAAACACGAGUUGCAAGUUAUCCCCUGUAAAAUCGUAUAUAUGGUGCAUAUUGCGUCCUGUAAAAUGAUUUGACUUGUUUGUCCUCUGAAUUUUCAUUCAGGUAAUUGUGUAAUCUAGGAUUAUGAGACAAUCUUGAAGACUCCUUCAUUGAUACUACUCCAAAAGUCAUGCGUGGCCAAGGUGGCUGGGGAGACUCUCCAAGCCUGCAUUUGCAUAUGCUCAAUUGGUGGCUGCCUCAAUAGUUUUAUGGUGGUGCAGUUGGAAUGUCUGAUGGUGGCAGUUAGCAGGUGAGUUCCCAGCGUCAUUCUUAGAAAUAUUAUUAUGCAAAUAUUUAUACAGUGGCAAAAUGCGUUGUCGGAUGCACGAUGUUAGUGCCGUAAUGCGUGUUUGCAUGCAUCAUCAUCCUUGAAAUGCCAUUUGAAUUUAAAACCAUAACCUAGAUAUUAGUGCAGUGGUGAAUGUGUUGUCAGAUGCACAGGAAGUCCAUUGCAAUUGGAAGGUUGCAUCAUGCUUAAUAGUAUCCCACCAAUUUAAAAAUUUGUUGUCAGAUGGCCAUUGGAGUAGCGAUGUUUGCAUCACCCUGAGAAUUAUAGAAGAGGAGUAGUUAGCAAGAUAUGAAGUUAUAUUGCAGAAACUAUCUGAGGACUGGUUGGCCAUUUCCUGUGGAGAAAGGUCGCUAAUUAAUUAAAUGUACCUAGCCUUUUGUUGACCUUUUCCCUUAGAGUAAUGCCCGGUGAGAAGCAUAUACUCAUGAGAUAUUUUUCUCAUGUAUGUAUUCUGAAUACAGGUAUCAACACUUACGACUAAAUCUCACUAGUUUUCUGUCACCAGCUAUAUACACUAGUUGCUGUUAAAUAUUCUCCAGUAACGGACCUGUGAACAAACUGUUGUUCUUUAUAUUUUAGAAUUAUUGUGUAUUUACCCUUAAUUUGAACUGACCAUUUUCAACCCUGGCAUAACAUAUUAUUCCACUCAUAAUACUAUGAUCGAUUAGCUUGAACUUUGAGGGCUCAUUUGAUUCACAAGUACAUGGGGAACACUGUUAUGAACAAUUAAUUGGACGGGUAUUUGCAUCAUUUGAUAAGAUCUAAACCUUUAAUGAUUGGAAACUAAAAACCUAAUGUCAACUAGUAGUAUUUUUCUUUGUCAAGUGGGAACACCCUCCCGAUUAUUUUUUUAGGAACCGAAAUAUGUAAAUAGUGUGUGAGCUUUAGUGCUUUACUGGUAAAGAUAGAGCAUCUGAUUGCCUGAAAAAGCAUUACUAAGCUCUCUGAAGAAAUGGAGUAUACUUAAUUUCUCUUAAUUAAAAGUACUCGAAGGAGCUAGUACGCCAUGAGGUUAAUAUGCAAGAGUAUGCAUGUAAACCCUCUAGCCGUGAACUCUGCUGUCUCUCAAGACAAACGCGACAUGACUCGUGCGAUUAAUUUAUAUUAUGCAAACAAGUGUUAGAUACUAUGAUUGCCUUUUAUACAAAUUAAUGGAAGUGAGAUCUGCCUCUGGAAAGAGACACUUUGUUAUUCAUAAGAGACAGAGGACCUGAUUCCCUGUGUGUAGGGAGUCAAGCUUCCAAUAUCAUAUAGGUGUAUGUAUGAUUAGGAGCCUAUUAAUUAAUACAUAAGCCCAACGGAGGGGUUGAGAAGCCAACAUGCAAGAACAUUUUUUCUUUCCCAACCAGCUAUACAAGAUAACAUUAAUUAAUUUCCUUACAUCUUGGCAUACGUACAUAUGCAUUCAACCACAUGCCUGCACUGCAUAUACAUACAUGUAGAGUACAUAUAUGUUGUUUGAAGGAAAUUAAUUAAUAUCCAUGCCGAUCCAUGACCUUAGUGCACUGCUUAAUUAAAUUAGCACACCGUGGUAUGAUCUCCACUCCUCCCUUAAUUUCUCGCUCUAAUCUUCGGCCAAGCCUCCUCAAUCGAUAGAUUCAUCACAACAUACAUAUAUAUGUAAAUAAUCUUAGAGCAAGGCCAAUUAAGUUCCAUUGCUACAUAGGUACAAGUUAAGCCAUUAACAACACACAUAGGAAGGAAAUGAACGCAGGAGAAGACAGACGGUGGCCGGCGGUGAGGUGGGUGGC